rnacentral:snoRNA from 1 species
ACACAUCCAUAAGACCAUCUUUGUGCGGUGGCCGCCCACAGCGGCCUCCUCAAUAGUAUGCGCAGCCUGUUGCUCAUACUGGCCGCCCGAAGCCACCUUGGAGACAGUU